rnacentral:rRNA from 1 species
UACAGAGGUCUCAAGCGUUGUUCGGAUUCAUUGGGCGUAAAGGGUGUGUAGGUGGCGCGCUAAGUCGGGUGUGAAAUUUCGGAGCUUAACUCCGAAACUGCAUUUGAUACUGCGGUGCUUGAGGACUGGAGAGGAGACUGGAAUUUAUGGUGUAGCAGUGAAAUGCGUAGAUAUCAUAAGGAAGACCAGUGGCGAAGGCGGGUCUCUGGACAGUUCCUGACACUGAGACACGAAGGCCAGGGGAGCAAACGGG